rnacentral:rRNA from 1 species
UACGAAGGGGCAAGCGUUGUUCGGAAUUAUUGGGCGUAAAGCGCGCGUAGGCGGGUUCGUAAGUUCGAUUGUGAAAACCCUGGGCUCAACCCGGGACGUGCAGUCGAUACUGCGAAUCUUGAGUGCCUGAGAGGAUGGCGGAAUUCCCGGUGUAGUAGUGAAAUACGUAGAUAUCGGGAAGAACACCUGAGGCGAAGGCGGCUAUCUGGCGGUGCACUGACGCUGAGGCGCGAAAGCGUGGGGAGCAAACAGG